rnacentral:rRNA from 1 species
UACGGAGGGUGCAAGCGUUGUCCGGAAUCACUGGGCGUAAAGGGCGCGUAGGCGGCUCAUGAAGUCUGUGGUGAAAGUCCGGGGCUCAACCUCGGAUCGGCCGUGGCGACUCGUGGGCUGGAGCACUGUAGAGGCGGGUGGAAUUCCGGGUGUAGCGGUGGAAUGCGUAGAGAUCCGGAAGAACACCGGUGGCGAAGGCGGCCUGCUGGGCAGUAGCUGACGCUGAAGCGCGACAGCGUGGGGAGCAAACAGG